rnacentral:ribozyme from 1 species
UUCUGUACAGUUCCGUUAAUGGGGUAGGAUCCGAGACUCCUUUCGGGGUUACACAGGCUCGCCUACCCAACUCCUAUUCCGUCACGUCCUCGUCGUUCAGAGUGGUAACUUUUCCCACCACAUAUCCAAGCUUGGGUACACGGGCCUGUCCCAACCCCUUGGGCGGAUGGUGGAGCAAGGCUAACCAGGAGGGG